UACGGAGGGUGCAAGCGUUAUCCGGAUUUACUGGGUUUAAAGGGUGCGUAGGCGGAUUUGUAAGUCCGAGGUGAAAUCUCCGAGCUUAACUCGGAAACUGCCUUGGAUACUAUAAGUCUUGAAUGACGUUGAGGUUAGCGGAAUAUGUCAUGUAGCGGUGAAAUGCUUAGAUAUGACAUAGAACAUCUAUUGCGAAGGCAGCUAACUAAGCGUAAAUUGACGCUGAUGCACGAAAGCGUGGGGAUCAAACAGG
rnacentral:rRNA from 1 species